UUGAAAGGCCAUGCGCUCGGUCAGUUAUGUGCAGCGCGUGAGUUUAGACUACACAGGAACAAUCUUUCCUCACGCCAUCUGUCUUGGAGAUGCAGAUAACGACUCGUUAACGUGUUGGAGUGGGAGAUGUUUGCAACAAAGGAAGGAACUUUGUUGUGGCGGUUGGUGCGGAGGGCUGGUUUCACCUGUUUGAUAUCAGCGCUGCUGCAGCCAAAUCAGACUCCUCAAGUCAGCAGGACGGUUCGAUCGGGAACGAGCAGAAGCCCAGUUACACCCAGCACAUCCCCGCUAAUACCAAAGUGAUGCUCAUCAGUGAUA